ACACAGCACUGUGCAAACACGAAAGUGGACGUAUACGGUGUGACGCCUGCCCGGUGCCGGAAGGUUAAAUGAUGGGGUUAUCUUCGGAGAAGCUCUUGAUUGAAGCCCCGGUAAACGGCGGCCGUAACAAUAACGGUCCUAAGGUAGCGAAAUUCCUUGUCGGGUAAGUUCCGACCUGCACGAAUGGUGUAACGACUUGGGCACUGUCUCGGCCAUGAGCUCGGUGAAAUUGUGGUAUCGGUGAUGACGCCGAUUACCCGCAGCGGGACGAAAAGACCCCGUGAACCUUUACUACAACUUUACAUUGGCUUUAGCUGUCGCAUGUGUAGGAUAGGCGGGAGACUUUGAAGCGGCGUCGCCAGGCGUUGUGGAGUCACCCUUGAAAUACCGCCCUUGCCACAGGUGAAGUCUAACCCUUCCGGGGGAACAGUGUAUGGUGGGUAGUUUGACUGGGGCGGUCGCCUCCUAAAGAGUAACGGAGGCUCCCAAAGGUACCCUCAGCACGGAUGGCAAUCGUGCGUAGAGUGUAAAAGCAUAAGGGUGCUUGACUGCGAGACAUACAGGUCGAGCAGGCACGAAAGUGGGGUUUAGUGAUCCGGUGGCACCGCAUGGAAGGGCCAUCGCUCAAAGGAUAAAAGGUACUCCGGGGAUAACAGGCUGAUACCGCCCAAGAGUUCACAUCGACGGCGGUGUUUGGCACCUCGAUGUCGGCUCAUCACAUCCUGGGGCUGAAGCCGGUCCCAAGGGUAUGGCUGUUCGCCAUUUAAAGUGGUACGCGAGCUGGGUUUAGAACGUCGUGAGACAGUUCGGUCCCUAUCUGCCGUGGACGUUGGAGAUUUGAGGAAAGCUGCUCCUAGUACGAGAGGACCGGAGUGGACGAACCGCUGGUGUUCGGGUUGUGUCGCCAGACGCAUUGCCCGGUAGCUAUGUUCGGAUAGGAUAACCGCUGAAAGCAUCUAAGCGGGAAGCCCCUUCCAAGAUGAGAUCUCCCUGGACCCUUGAGGUCCCUGAAGAGCCGUUCAAGACCAGGACGUUGAUAGGUCGGGUGUGUAAGCGCUGCGAGGCGUUGAGCUAACCGAUACUAAUUGCUCGUGAGGCUUGACU
rnacentral:rRNA from 1 species